rnacentral:rRNA from 1 species
AGUGAACGCUGGCGGUAGGCCUAACACAUGCAAGUCGAACGGCAGCACGGUAAGAGCUUGCUCUUACGGGUGGCGAGUGGCGGACGGGUGAGGAAUACAUCGGAAUCUACUUUUUCGUGGGGGAUAACGUAGGGAAACUUACGCUAAUACCGCAUACGACCUACGGGUGAAAGCAGGGGAUCUUCGGACCUUGCGCGAUUGAAUGAGCCGAUGUCGGAUUAGCUAGUUGGCGGGGUAAAGGCCCACCAAGGCGACGAUCCGUAGCUGGUCUGAGAGGAUGAUCAGCCACACUGGAACUGAGACACGGUCCAGACUCCUACGGGAGGCGGCAGUGGGGAAUAUUGGACAAUGGGCGCAGGCCUGAUCCAGCCAUACCGCGUGGGUGAAGAAGGCCUUCGGGUUGUAAAGCCCUUUUGUUGGGAAAGAAAAGCAGCAGGUUAAUACCCCGCUGUUCUGACGGUACCCAAAGAAUAAGCACCGGCUAACUUCGUG